CAUUAUCUCAUGGGGUGUUUUAGUUUUUUAAAAACUAAAACUGAGAAGCGGAAUUGACCGCUAACCCACUGAACCUGAUCCAGAUUAUGCUGGCGUAGGAAUCGAGGUAGCAAAAACGC
rnacentral:ncRNA from 2 species